rnacentral:rRNA from 1 species
CUACGGGUUGCUGCAGUGGGGAAUAUUGCACAAUGGAGGAAACUCUGAUGCAGCAACGCCGCGUGGAGGAUGACACUUUUCGGAGCGUAAACUCCUUUUAUAUAGGAAGAAGAUGACGGUACUAUAUGAAUAAGCGCCGGCUAACUCCGUGCCAGCAGCCGCGGUAAUACGGAGGGCGCAAGCGUUACUCGGAAUCACUGGGCGUAAAGAGCGUGUAGGCGGAUUAAAAAGUCAGAAGUGAAAUCCUAUAGCUUAACUAUAGAACUGCUUCUGAAACUCUUAAUCUAGAAUAUGGGAGAGGUAGAUGGAAUUUCUGGUGUAGGGGUAAAAUCCGUAGAGAUCAGAAGGAAUACCGAUUGCGAAGGCGAUCUACUAGAACAUUAUUGACGCUGAGACGCGAAAGCGUGGGGAGCAAACAGGAUUAGAUACCCGAGAGUC